rnacentral:rRNA from 1 species
UACGGGGGGGGCGAGCGUUGUUCGGAAUUACUGGGCGUAAAGGGCUCGUAGGCGGCCAACUAAGUCGGAUGUGAAAUCCCCAGGCUUAACCUGGGAACUGCAUCCGAUACUGGAUGGCUUGAAUCCGGGAGAGGGAUGCAGAAUUCCAGGUGUAGCGGUGAAAUGCGUAGAUAUCUGGAGGAAUACCGGUGGCGAAGGCGGCAUCCUGGACCGGCAUUGACGCUGAUGAGCGAAAGCUAGGGGAGCAAACGGG